GGCUGUCUGGUCUUGGUCGCCUCUGAAGGCAAAGGAUCAGGCUGUGCUCUGGAUUUGCAUGUCCAUAUUUUGAGGAAAUGCCCUACAUUACCUUUCCUGUGUGUUGAGAUGAAAGUCUGGAGGUCUUGGAACUGCAAAUGAUACCUGAAGAAGCACCCAAAGGACGCUUGUCAUCCUUCCGUCAAGUCCCCCAGCCACAUCUUUAGGCCUGGAUGCCGGAAUCGGGGGCGUUCGUAAACAGAGACCUCCAAGACCGAGAGAAAGUGGGGCAACUGAAGGAGGAAAGGGGGGAGGUCUGGAUCCAGCCUUCAGGAAUGGAGGAGGUGAGCAGGAGGCUCAGGCACGGGAUCAGGAACCACAGACCAGAAGCACUGAGUUUGAGAAAAGUUAUUUCGUGUGGAUGACCGAAAGCUGUUGAUCCGUUAAUGUUAAAAGAAUUUGAAAAUGUUAAAAUACUAAAUGAAUUAAAUGACCGAUUUCAAGGGAAGGGUGUCCCCUAAGAAAUAGCAUAGGAAGUGGCAUCUUUAACCAAAAAGGAAAAGAAACUGACGGCAACCCGGGGACCAUGGAGUGGUUAUAAGGGAUUAUGGGAACAGCCAAGAUGGUCCCAGAGGUGUAACUUCUAAGAGGCUUUAACACCUGUUACCCACUCAUAGUGCCAUUUUAGAGUCUGUUAUGUUCUGAACCCACACAUGUUUUCGGAAGGACCAGAUGGCUGACACUGGCUAAUGGGAACCAAAAGACAAGAGUGAAAGUAACCUGGUUGUCACAUACCCCAAGAGUAGAGGGGCCUCACCUUUGCCCCAAGGUGGGGAAAGAUCAAGUGCAGACUGAGCUGUGGCCAGCGCUUACAGACCAGGAAUCCACACUAGCUCUAAUCAGAGAGCUCUUGGUGUGCGGGAACUGCCAGUUUGCCGACGUGAAAAGAGCCCCAGACUGGGUACUGGUGAGCCCUGAAGUCGCACCCCAGCUCUGCCACUCAGUGAGCACGGCAACAUCCCUAAUCCUGACCAGCCAUGGAGAGGUUCGGUUCUUACAAGGAAAAUGAGUGAAUGUGGGAAUGGCUCACCACAUUGGGAAAACAAAACUCACAUCCUGCUGAUGGUUGGCUGAGGACUGUCAUGUCCACAUACAAAGAAAAGCAUGUGGCACAGUUGUAGGACAAAG